rnacentral:lncRNA from 1 species
UUUUGACAGGGUGCUGAUUGGUGCAUUUACAAUCCCUGAGCUAGACACAAAAGUUCUCCAAGUCCCUACUAGAUUAGCUAGAUACAGAGUGUCGACUGGUGCGUUCACAAACCCUGAGCUAGACACAGGGUGCUGAUUGGUGUGUUUACAAACCAUGAGCUAGAUACAGUGUGCCGAUUGGUGUAUUUACAAUCCCUCUAUUUUAUAGGGCUGUUGGGAAGACAAAAAUGAAAGAACUGCUAUUCAAUGUUUAGUGAAGAGCUAUGCACAGUUUUGAAUAAUGAAGUUGGUGUUUAUUUUUUAUUAUUUGUUUAUUUAUUUUUUAGAGGCGGGGUCUUGCUCUAUUGCUCAAGCUGGAGUGCAGUGGUGCAAUCACAGCUUAGUGCAGCCUUGACCUCCUGGGCUCAAGAAAUCCUGCCACCUCAGCCUCCUGAGUAGCUGGGACUACAGGCAUGCAUCGCCAUGUCUGGCUAUUUAUUUAUUUGUUUGUUUUUUGUAGAGAUGGGUCUCCCUAUGUUGCCCGGGCUGGUCUUGAACUCCUGGCCUUAAGCAACCCUCCUGUCU